rnacentral:rRNA from 1 species
UCAGGAGGGGUAACCCUUCUGAGGGGAGAGCGGCGAACGGGUGAGUAACACGUGGGCAACCUGCCCCGGACACCGGGAUAACCCAGGGAAACCUGAGCUAAUACCGGAUACUCCGGCGUGAUCGCAUGGUCGCGCCGGGAAAGCUCCGACGGUCCGGGAUGGGCCCGCGGCCUAUCAGCUUGUUGGUGGGGUAACGGCCCACCAAGGCGACGACGGGUAGCUGGUCUGAGAGGACGGCCAGCCACACUGGGACUGAGACACGGCCCAGACUCCUACGGGAGGCAGCAGUGGGGGAUCUUGCGCUAAUGCGCGAAAGCGUGACGCAGUGACGCCGCGUGGGGGAUGAAGGCCUUCGGG